rnacentral:rRNA from 1 species
UGUUGUACCCUGACCUCGUCAGAUCUCUGAAGCUAAGCAGGGUUGGGCCUAGUUAGUCAUUGGAUGGGAAACUGCUGGGAAUACCAGAUAACAC